rnacentral:rRNA from 1 species
UACGUAGGGCGCAAGCGUUGUCCGGAAUUAUUGGGCGUAAAGAGCUCGUAGGCGGCUUGUCACGUCGGGUGUGAAAGCCCGGGGCUUAACCCCGGGUCUGCAUUCGAUACGGGCUAGCUAGAGUGUGGUAGGGGAGAUCGGAAUUCCUGGUGUAGCGGUGAAAUGCGCAGAUAUCAGGAGGAACACCGGUGGCGAAGGCGGAUCUCUGGGCCAUUACUGCCGCUGAGGAGCGAAAGCGUGGGGAGCGAACAGG